rnacentral:misc_RNA from 1 species
UCGAAUUGGCUUAGACUGUGCUGGCUUCGGCAUGUGCACGUCUAUAUUCAUCCAAUACACCUGUGCAUCUCUGACUUCGGAGCCUUUGGGCGAAGAGGUAUUACACACCCUUUGAUUAUGUAUGUGAUAAAAGACCAUGGCGCUUUGCGUCGAUGUAUAAAA